rnacentral:rRNA from 1 species
CUACGGGCUGCAGCAGUGGGGAAUAUUGCACAAUGGGCGCAAGCCUGAUGCAGCCGUGCCGCGUGUAUGAAGAAGGCCUUCGGGUUGUAAAGUACUUUCAGCGGGGAGGAAGGGAGUAAAGUUAAUACCUUUGCUCAUUGACGUUACCCGCAGACGAAGCACCGGCUAACUCCGUGCCAGCAGCCGCGGUAAUACGGAGGGUGAAGCGUUAAUCGGAAUUACUGGGCGUAAAGCGCACGCAGGCGGUUUGUUAAGUCAGAUGGGAAAUCCCCGGGCUCAACCUGGGAACUGCAUCUGAUACUGGCAAGCUUGAGUCUCGUAGAGGGGGGUAGAAUUCCAGGUGUAGCGGUGAAAUGCGUAGAGAUCUGGAGGAAUACCGGUGGCGAAGGCGGCCCCCUGGACGAAGACUGACGCUCAGGUGCGAAAGCGUGGGGAGCAAACAGGAUUAGAUACCCUGGUAGUC